ACACGAGGAAGGAGGUGGUCCCAAGUUGUGUAGCUAUAGGACUCGUCGUGAGGUGGCUGUCCGCUAGGACCCGGCCUGAUCUCGGCUGAGCCUGGCGAAUACCAGGCAGCCACCCGCCCCCGACUGCUCCGAGCCAGUCCACUCGGCCCGCGCACCGAGCUCCGCGCGCGGGAAGCGGCACCGGGGUCGUCUCUU
rnacentral:sRNA from 1 species